rnacentral:rRNA from 1 species
GCGUAUGGAAUCUACCUUUUACAGAGGGAUAGCCCGAAGAAAUUUGGAUUAAUACCUCAUAGUAUUGCGAAAUGGCAUCAUUUCAUAAUUAAAGAUUUAUCGGUAAAAGAUGAUCAUGCGUCCUAUUAGCUAGUUGGUAUGGUAACGGCAUACCAAGGCAACGAUAGGUAGGGGUCCUGAGAGGGAGAUCCCCCACACUGGUACUGAGACACGGACCAGACUCCUACGGGAGGCAGCAGUGAGGAAUAUUGGACAAUGGUGGGAACACUGAUCCAGCCAUGCCGCGUGCAGGAAGACUGC